rnacentral:tRNA from 1 species
GGCUGUAGCUCAGUGGUAAAGUGCUUGCUUCGCAUGUGUGAGGAACUGGGUUCGAUCCUCAGCACCA